rnacentral:rRNA from 1 species
CCUACGGGAGGCAGCAGUGGGGAAUAUUGCACAAUGGGGGAAACCCUGAUGCAGCGACGCCGCGUGAGUGAAGAAAGUAUUUCGGUAUGUAAAGCUUCUAUCAGCCAGGGAAAGAAAAAUGACGGUACCUGACUAAGAAAGCCCCGGCUAACUACGUGCCNGCNAGCCGCGGUAAUA